CUUGAUCGACCCGAGCCACAGCGGCCGCUCCGGUUCGCGGCCGAGGCCGUACCCGGCGAGCAGGGCCUGUGCCUC
rnacentral:antisense_RNA from 1 species